GACGAACGCUGGCGGCGUGCUUAACACAUGCAAGUCGAACGGAAAGGCCCUGCUUUUGUGGGGUGCUCGAGUGGCGAACGGGUGAGUAACACGUGAGUAACCUGCCCUUGACUUUGGGAUAACUCCAGGAAACUGGGGCUAAUACCGGAUAGGAGCUCCUGCUGCAUGGGGGGGGUUGGAAAGUUUCGGCGGUUGGGGAUGGACUCGCGGCUUAUCCGCUUGUUGGUGGGGUAGUGGCUUACCAAGGCUUUGACGGGUAGCCGGCCUGAGAGGGUGACCGGCCACAUUGGGACUGAGAUACGGCCCAGACUCCUACGGGAGGCAGCAGUGGGGAAUAUUGCACAAUGGGCGGAAGCCUGAUGCAGCAACGCCGCGUGCGGGAUGACGGCCUUCGGGUUGUAAACCGCUUUCGCCUGUGACGAAGCGUGAGUGACGGUAAUGGGUAAAGAAGCACCGGCUAACUACGUG
rnacentral:rRNA from 1 species